rnacentral:lncRNA from 1 species
CAAGUGUCACAAGGAAAACGGGAAUCAUGUUAUCAAUGGCUCAGGUGAGUGUUUGAGAUAACUACGAGCCCAGGUAAUGGGGACUGCUUCUGUAGCUGGGCCAACAUUUCUGAGACUUUUUCUUCACAUAAGUGUCCUGCCCCCUUCAGAACUUUGGAUGUAGUGUUAUACUGAGCCAGACCAUUGUUCCAUCUAGCUGAGCAUUGUCAACCCUGACUAGGAGUGGCCUCGCCAUGAUUUGAGAACAUAAUGCUGAACUCAAUCUCCGAAUGGUGUGAGAUUCCGGAGGUUCCAGGCGUGUACCCAGGGAUCGAUCUCCUUGGAAUGAGGGACAGCAGAGACUGUGGUGUCUUUGGAAUAUCUGGUUUAUUUAUACCUAUAUGAAACCUGAAAUAUACUCAGAGUCCUGUAGCGAUUUCAUGCUCUUUAUUGCAGCUUGUAAAACAGUGAUUGAUUUGCCCCCCAAACCUCAGGCUUUUAUAUACAUUAUUUACACAAUGAGUCCCGUCCGAUUGGCUGAUUCUGCUUCCCUCCUGGAGCCUGAUUGGUCUUUUCGUGCAGGCCAAUCGGAUGUUGCAUUCUACGAUCCUACCAGCCUAAUAGGCUGGUUAACUUAAGUUUGUUGCAUUCUAGGAUCUUACUUGCCUUACUUGCCUAUUGUUCUAGGAUCCAAGGUUAGUACAUAACAGAACCUGAGCCUACAGUGGAGGGGCUCACAGCAUUAACACCCCAAGAAGGCCCUGCUUCUCCCAUAGCCACAAUCUUGGAUUCAAGCAACAAUCAAGCAUGUCUCCCUUCUCACGCUUCUGCCUGCAGCCUGCUUCCAGUUCAGCUCUCUCUCUCACACUGCCUUUUGUCUUUCUCACUACCAGCCAGGCGAGUGAGGGAGACCCACCCAUUUGCCCUUCCUUUCUUAUACCAGCGAUCCAUACACAGUGGGAAGGUAAACGGCGUUUCUGUGCGCUGCCCUGGUUCGCCAGAAGCGGCUUAGUCAUGCUGGCCACAUGACCCAGAAGCUGUACGCCGGCUCCCUCGGCCAAUAAAGCGAGAUGAGCGCCGCAACCCCAGAGUCGUCCGCGACUGGACCUAAUGGUCAGGGGUACCUUUACCUUAGGUUGGUGGCUAUCACUGCCUCCUGUGGAAACAAGUUCCAUAGUUUAACUAGGUGCUGUGCAUGAAGAUGUGCUGUCUUUUAUCUGCACUGAAUCUUCUGGUGUUCGGCUUCAGAGCAGAGUGCAAGCAACCUCAGCAGAGCAGCCUUUCCAAAGUCAAAGUCUUCCAUGAUGUAAGAUAGGCAACAUUUUCAUUUUCUGUUUCUUUCAAUGUAGAGGCAAACACAGAAAUGCCGGCAGUGGUUUAAUCCCCAAUGAUGCAACAAGCUGAUCGAUACAGAAGUGCCUCACUGCCGAUUAGCGCGAGAAUAAACUCGCUUUCUAUCUGAAAAGGCUGGCUGCAUGCAGAAGGACCCAGGUUCCCCGGAAAAGUUCUCAGGUGCUCUGAACUGCCUGAAACCCUGGAGCUGCUGCAUGUCAGAACAGGCAAUGGAACAUUGGUAACUCGGAAAAGACGGCAUCAUCUCUUCAUAGGCAACUACUGACUUUGCUGUGGAACAUUAAAUGUUGAGCUUUGGUGCUGGAAGUCCAUUGGGGAGUUUCUUGAACCUUGUAGUAUCAUGACCUCACUCUGCCA